rnacentral:lncRNA from 1 species
AAACCAUAAGAACAAGGGAACUAAUAAGAAACAGGGAUAUUUCAUCUCAGAUUUAAUUCAUUUCAAUCAUAGAUGCACAAUAGAAUAGGGACCAAAAGUAUGAGCAUGUUUUCAUCAUUUCAGACCCACAUAAUCACACAUAGCACAUAGUACAAACACUGCAAAUCCCACAUGCAACAGCCUAUACCAACUUAAGAACAAGGGCUCGGCCACAUAUACAUCUACCGUGAAGAGCAGAUUAGGGAUUAGGGUAGAUCUCACCAGAAAAAGGCAGGAAGCAGGAUCUUCAUCAUCCUCAUCUCACCAUCACUCAUUUCCCUGUGUUGCCAGUUUUCCUCACAAAGGAAAAAUGAAUCGGGGUAAGCAUCAUAAUUAGAUUUUGAAGAUGAUACAGGUAGUUCAUCGGAGACCACAGGAGUACACGGGCUACAGGGAAUGAGAGGGCCUUUACCUUGUUGGGCUAAAGCCAGGUGAUGUCGUUCUCUACAUCCAUCUUCAAUCACCUUAACCUCGAUCCAUGUCUCCAAAGAACUCAUCCAUUUCCAAUCAUAUGAAUCUCCGUAAUAUUUCGACAUCUAUUCGGUUAAAUCCCUCAGAUUUUGGCAAAAAUACUCUCAGAGAACGGGCGACGAAAGGCGGAAGACGAAGAGAGAGAUUGAUCUGAUUUUGGGUAAGGGUUUACAUCAUAGGGAUUUCUGGAAAGGGGGAAGACGAUGGUUGAGGCCAAAUUGGUAAGAGACGAAUGCAGAGGGGGCGGCAGUUGACACCCAAACAAGACGACGAGAGGCGGUAGGCGAAGAGAGAGGGAGGUUUCAAGCGAAACCUUCAAGCUCUAGAUUUAGGGUUUCUCUACGGCGGACUUGAAGAAUUUUGUAAAAUGGAAAUGAUUUCUCUAUCUUACAGAUUCGAUCGUCCGUUCCAAUUCCAGGCAU